UUAGUUCAAACUGAAUAAUCCCCCUCUAGGGCUGACUGUGCUGGCUCACGCCUGUAAUCUCAACACUUUGGGAAGCUGAGGCAGGAGGAUUGCGUGAGGCCAGUAGUUCCAGAGCAGCUUGGGCAGCAUAGCAAGACUCCGUCUCUAAAAAACAAACUGUAAAAUAUUUAAUAAAAAUAAUAGUAAUCUCUAUCUGGGCCUCAUCUAGACCUUUAGGUGAGUAAGAACCACCUAAUGUAAGAACUUGGGGUACAAAGAGAAUCUAGCUCUGGGGUAGGCAAACUGAGCCAGCCGACCUAAUACAUGGAGCCUACCACCUGUUUUUCUACAGCCCUGAGGUAGAAAUAGUGAAACUAAGGGAAA
rnacentral:lncRNA from 1 species